CACUUACUAGGCCAAUUUGAAAGUUGGGUCUUGAAUAAGGUUGCUUAGCAAUUUGGUUUAGCCCAUGUCAAUUAGAUCAGUCAUAUGAUGACAGAUUAGAUGAGAUUUAAACCUAAACAUCCCCACAAAUAUUAAAGUCCAUAGGUCUUCCAUCAUUGUAAAUGUGCGGACGUGCUACCGGCAUUGAUUGUUCUCGACUGAUC
rnacentral:lncRNA from 1 species